UCCUCGGUAGUAUAGUGGUGAGUAUCCCCGCCUGUCACGCGGGAGAGCGGGGUUCGAUUCACCGCCGGGGAG
rnacentral:tRNA from 1 species